rnacentral:rRNA from 1 species
CAGCAGCCGCGGUAACACGUAGGUGGCAAGCGUUGUCCGGAAUUAUUGGGCGUAAAGGGCUCGCAGGCGGUUUCUUAAGUCUGAUGUGAAAGCCCCCGGCUCAACCGGGGAGGGACAUUGGAAACUGGGAAACUUGAGUGCAGAAGAGGAGAGUGGAAUUCCACGUGUAGCGGUGAAAUGCGUAGAGAUGUGGAGGAACACCAGUGGCGAAGGCGACUCUCUGGUCUGUAACUGACGCUGAGGAGCGAAAGCGUGGGGAGCGAACAGGAUUAGAUACCCGCGUAGUCCCUGUCUCUUAUAC